UAUUACCUUAUAGCUCUUUGAGAAUUUGCCUAGCAGGUUUUCUGAUUUUCACCAGAAACCUCCC
ensembl:snRNA U7 U7 small nuclear RNA